rnacentral:rRNA from 1 species
AUACGGAGGAUGCGAGCGUUAUCCGGAUUUAUUGGGUUUAAAGGGAGCGUAGGUGGGAUAUUAAGUCAGCUGUGAAAGUUUGGGGCUCAACCUUAAAAUUGCAGUUGAUACUGGUUUCCUUGAGUACGGUAUAGGUGGGCGGAAUUCGUGGUGUAGCGGUGAAAUGCUUAGAUAUCACGAAGAACUCCGAUCGCGAAGGCAGCUCACCGGGCCGGAACUGACACUGAUGCUCGAAAGUGCGGGUAUCAAACAGGAUUAGAUACCCUGGUAGUCCGCACAGUAAACGAUGAAUACUCGCUGUUUGCGAUACACUGUAAGCGGCCAAGCGAAAGCGUUAAGUAUUCCACCUGGGGAGUACGCCGGCAACGGUGAAACUCAA